AAAAACAUGAAGGGUGAAAUAUACUCAGAGUCGAGAGUGGAUUUCAUGCUCUUUAUUCAGCUCAUAGUGGUGAGGAGGGAAUGAAAGUCCCCUCAAAGUAUCUGCUUUAUAUACAUUAUUUACACAAUGGGCUGCACGUGAUUGGCUAAUUCCGGAAUUCUCCUGUAGACCAAUCAGGUUGUGGAUUCACUUCUAUCUGGAGCUGGAUUGGGUGGCUCCUGCCGACCAAUCAUAUUGCUGCAUUGUUCUAGGACCAAUCAGACUGCUGUAUUCUGAAUCCUAUUGUUCUAGGACCAAUCAGACUGCUGCAGUUUCGAUCCUAUUCAACUCAGUACAUAACAAAGGGGUAAGGCCAAUAGAAUAUACCAGCUCUAAUUUCUAAGUAAACACACAUCUGUUUGAAGGUUUAUUCAAGUGUGGGUCAAGAUGAAAUGGCGAGGGAGUCACCUUAAUAAUAAGAUGAAGAAAGGAGCAGUGUGAAAGGCACUUAUUUAUUUCCAGAAUGUAUUAAUGUGGGAAGAAAAUACUAAUUCCUCACCAAAGCCCUGCAAUGAUUGCAUGCUGAAAAUGAAGACAUUUGCACCCACUGGAUUAAUGCUGCCAGGGACUUUUUUAUGUGUCAUUAUGACCAACAGGUGGUGGAGGGAGCGAGUCACAGUCCAGUGAGUGAGCCUGUCCCUGGCUAUGCUACUGGUGUUAGCCCUCUCACUGGUCAAAGCUGAAGGAGUUAAGGGGCAGAGGGAUUAGGAAAGAGACCCGGCUGGGGAAGGUGAAACAGGUUUGUAAACACGACUGAAAACAGUUUAGGUUAGAUUUUUUUAAGUAAACAAAGGGAUUUUACGCUACCGAAACAUUACUGUUUAUAACUUCAAAAAGAGCUGCAAGUCAUUUUCACAUGUGAACACACACACACACACACACUUAUUAUAUACAUAUACAUACACAUAUAUGGUAUCUUUCUAAAAAGUAUUCGGAGAGGCAAUAAUUUCUAAAUCAAAGGGAAACGGUAAGAAAAUAGAAGACCAAAGAAGAAUUAAUCCUAAUCAAAGAGGGACAGUCAAUUGUGGACCAGUGCAGCAUCAAGGUCAGGUGGUACCCGGUGUGGACUUUUUUUGUCUCACCCCCCCCCCCAUUGAAAUUGAAAUCUGUCAAAGACAGCCAUGCAGGCGAUCUGGGUGCAGAUCCUGCCUUGCCCCUGCCCUCCCUCCACCCCCCUCUGCCAAAGAGAGCCGGAAGAUCUGGAGGGUGGUGUGAUGGGAUGAUGAGCUGCUUGUGCGUAAAAUCGUAUCCCCUCAGAGUUUGUUCAAGUCCACCAACCUCUGUCUGUGACGGAGCCCCUCAGACAUGGCUCCUCUAGUCACUAGCAGAUUCCGACAGUGGUUGCUUUCGUAAUCGCUUCCAACAUAAAAGCUCCUUAACGGAAACACGUCUUCUGGAAUCUCUGCGUGACAGUUUCCGGCGAGGAGUGGGUGUUCUUACAGGAGGUCCUGAAACCUCUCCACUGUUUUCGCUGGAAGUGUCUCUGAGCCAUCCCUCCAGCUCAGCUCCUCUCCCCCUGCUGGUUCCCUCUUCAGCUGCUGCGUCUCUCCCAACCUGUGUGAGCCCUUUCACCUCCCUGCUGGUUCCCUCUUCAGCUGCUACGUCUCUCCCAACCUGUGUGAGCCCUUUCACCUCCCUUCCGUCCGAUGGCAGUUCCCUGACAUCCACCUCCCUCCAGGGCCCCCUUCACCCCCUCUCGCCCCUCCUCUACGGGCGGUGAGGAGGCAAAACCCUGAAUGAACUUCCUUCAUCUUCCGAUGUCUCGAACACUUCUCUCAACCUGUUGCGGUUCCUGGUCUCGAAGUACACCUCCUCCUCAGAGUCCAUCUCCCCUUCCCCUUCCGAGUCCGGGAAUCCUUCCAACUCCUCCCCUUCAUCAGUGGUCCCAAAGUAUCCCUCCGGAACCUCUCCACAGGCUGAGGUUUCCUUGGGAACCUUUGAUGGAACGUUUCUAUCAAUACCUCGUCAUUGAUAUCUUCGGCCAUUACCCAAGUGUUUUCUGACUCCGGUUCUCCUUCCCACGCUACCAAAUACUCCACCUGAUCCCCCUUCCACCUGGCGUCGAGGAUUUCUGCCACAUGGCUGCUGCAUUCUCUUUCUUCUACGACCGGUCCCCGAGUGGCCAGCCCUUCUCGUCUCCCUUCGUACGGUGACAGUAACGACCUGUGAAAUACUGGGUGCAGUUUCAUGUGGUUGGGUAACCGGAGCCUGAAAGCCACUGGGUUGACCUGUUGAAUGACCUCAAAGGGACCCAACCUCCUGGGUCUUAAUUUCUUACAACCUCCUUUGAACGGCAACCCUUGGGUUGACAGCCACACCCUAUCUCCCACCCUUAUGGUUUCACCUUCCCUUCGGUUCUUGUCUGCCUGCCUCUUGUAUUCUUCCUUCGCCCUUUCUAAGUUGAGUUGGAGCUGACGAUGGAUUGCUUCCAUUUCUUCCACAAAAUGCUCGGCUGCCGGGACGCUCCAUCUCUCCCCAUCUCCCCUGGGAAAGCCCUGGGAUGACACCCAUAAUUAGCCAAGAAGGGGCUCAUCCCUGUGGACACAUUCUCGGCAUUGUUGUAGGCAAAUUCCGCCAGCGCCAACUUUUCUACCCAGUCAUUCUCUCUGUCAUUGACAUAACACCUCAGGUAUUGCUGGAGGACACCGUUUGCUCUUUCCGCCUGCCCGUUGGUUUCAGGGUGCCGGGCAGUCGAAAAAUUGACCUCCACCUGCAGUAAGCUCAUGAGCUUCCUCCAGAACCUGGAAGUAAAUUGUUUUCCUCGGUCUGAGACCACCCUCAAUGGCACCCCGUGCAACCUAAAAAUGUGUUCUACAAAUAACUUCGCUGUCUCUUCCGCCGUGACUGCAUGCGAGCAAGCUACAAAGUGGCACAUCUUUGUUAGUAGGUCUACCACCACCAUGAUGGCUGUUUUCCCUUUGGACUUCGGCAGAUCAGUCAUAAAAUCUAUCGACACUGCCUCCCAAGGUCGUUCUGGGGUUGGUAAGGGUUCUAAUAGCCCCGCCGGCGCCCGCCUUUCCCCUUUGGCUCGCUGGCAUUGCUCGCACCCUCUUACAUACUCACGUACAUCUUCCCUCACCUUAGGCCACCAAAAUUCCCUGGUGACCAACCACAUGGUUUUGUGUUGUCCAAAAUGCCCCGCCGUAGGGCUGUCGUGCAACUGCUUGAGUACCCUCCCCUUAACUCUCCUUCAGGGAUAUACAGUGCCCCUUUGUAAUACAAAGCUCCAUUUCUUUCCUCGAAACCCCUGGUUCCUCUCCCUCACCCCUAAGACCUCUGAGCUUAUUCUGGGCGUAUUCAUCAUUCUCUGUUUCCUCUACCAGUUCUCUUUGUCCCACCAAUGCCGCCCCACACACCCAGCGGUCCUCUGGAAUGACAUGUCUCUCUUCGGGUGCCCCUCCCCUCCAAAUAUUCAGGUUUGCGUGAGAGAGCGUCCGCCCUAAUGUUCUCUGGGCCUGGCACGUAACUAAUCUCAAAGUUAAAUUUGGAGAAUUCCUGGGCCCAUCUCACUUGCCGUUGGUUGAGCACUCGUGCCGUCCUCCAAUACUCUAGGUUCUUGUGGUCAGUGCACACUUGCACCUUAUGUUGUGCGCCAAUUAGCAGGUGCCUCCAUCUCCGGAACGCCUCAUGAAUGGCUAGUAGUUCUCGGUCAUACACCGUGUAGUUCCUCUCGGAUUUGUUCAGCUUUCGCGAAAAAAGGCACACGGUCUCCACUCUGACCCCUUCUUCCCUGGCUGCAGAAGCACCGCCCCAAUCGCUCUGUCUGAUGCGUCAGUUUCCACUCUCAUCGGUUUUUGUAAAUCCACAUGCAGGAGUUGUUGUUCCGAGGCGAAGGCCCUUUUAGUUCCUCAAAUGCUCGCUCCGCCUCCUCAGUCCACACGAACUUCUUCUUACUGCUGAGACAGUCCGUAAUGGGCGCCGUCAGGUGGGCAAAGUUUCGGAUGAACUUACGAUAGAAGUUCCCAAAUCCUAGGAACCUCUGCACAUCCUUCUUUGUUUUGGGUGUUUUCCAUUCCAGCACCGCCUGGACCUUGCCGGGAUCCAUGGCCAAUCCCUUGUCUGACAGGCGAUACCCCAGGAAUUCCACCUCCUUGGUAUGAAACUGACACUUCUCCAGUUUCACCCACAGCUGGUUGGCUUGCAGCCUGCUCAACACUUCUCUGACGUCUCUCACAUGCUGCUCCUCAUUCUCAGAAUACACCAACACGUCGUCUAAAAAGGCCACACAAUUCUUGUAAAGCAAAGGCCCCAGGACGUGGUUCAUAAACGAUUGAAAUGUUGCGGAGCCUGCUUGUAGGCCGAAGGGCAUAACCAAAUAUUCAAAUGCCCCUAAAGGGGUGAACAUAGUGGUUUUCCAUUCAUCCCCCUUCCUUAUUCGUACCAGGUUGUACGCCCCCCUUAGGUCCAGCUUUGUGAAAAUCUUUCCCUUCCGCACCCUUGUCAAAAUGUCGUCAAUCCUGGGCAUCGGGAAGGCUACUGGUUCUGACACUGCAUUUAAGGCCCUGAAGUCACACACCAGCCUCGGCUUGUUCGUGUUUUUCUUAUCCACAAAAAACACUGGGCUGCCCCCCCCACCGCCCUGGACUCUCUGAUGAACCCUCUCUUCAGGUUCUUGUCAAUGAACUCUCUUAACUCCUGCAUCUCUCUGUCUGACAUGGCGUACAGCUUGCCUACAGGGAGCUGUGCUCCAGGGAGUAAAUUGAUUUGACAGUCAAAGGGUCUAUGCGGGGGUAGUUGGUCAGCUUCCUUUCGCUGAAGACGUCACGGAGAUCUGCAUAUUGUCGUGGUACCUUCACGUUCUCUGUGACUUCAGUCCCUGCUAGGGUGGCUUGGACCCCUGCCAAACCCUUUCCCUCUUUGCAGUGUUCUAAGCAAUGUGCUGAACCAAAAGAAACCACUCUCUGAUGCCAGCCCACCAGCGGAUCAUGUAACGCUAGCCAGCUCAUCCCCAAUAUAAUGGGAGCUCCUCCCAAGGUGGCCACAUUAAAAGCUAUCAGUUCGGUGUGCCUUGCUACCUUCAUUAUCAUUGGGACGGUCUGCAAGCUGACUUCUCCACCCAACAGCUCCCUGCCAUCGAUCGUGGUCACCUGCAGGGGGCUGCUUAAAGGAUCGUCUGUAUCUGGUGUUCAGCUGCAAACUCUUUGCUCAUGAAAUUGCAGGAGCUGCCUGAGUCCAACAGCGCCUUUAUCUUUAGAGGGUGUCCGUUUGGCAGCUCUAGCGUCACUUCUAUCACUAGGGCGGGUUUAGGAGGUUCUGGCGUGGGCACUCUCACUGCUCUUUGGCCUGGCUGCUGUGCCCCGACAGUGGCAGCCAGGCGUUGGCUUUACUUGCUCCGGUAUUUCUUCCUCUCUUCCAUCCACAGCUCCUACCAUCCCUUGCCAUUCUUUCCUCUGGGGGCAGACUCUGGCAAAGUGACCUGGCUGUUGGCAGAGAUAGCAUUUCCGGGCGCCUUUUCCCUCCUUUUUUCCCCCCCUCACUGGGCUUUGAAACUGCGCGCGCGCGCGCUGUUCCGAUUUCCAUCGGCUCUGCCGGUGGGAAAGUUGGCUCUGGAAUGUCUGGAAUGCGGAACUCCUUCCAACGUUCCCCUUUCCCUUCCCGCCUCUCCAAUGCUCUCGCCUCCUGGCGCGCUCCUAUGGCCAGCGCUGAUUUGGUCAGCUGGUCCAUAGACUCCGCCCUGGGCGCCCGGGAAAGUUCGUCUUUCACAGCCGAAGAAAGCCCUUCUUCAAAGAGCAUUUGAAUGGGUUCCGCCGAUAAGUCCCACCCCAAUCUGUGAACAAGCAUGGUGAACUCAGUCCAGUACUCACGGACAGAUCGGCUCCCCUGUUUGCAAGCCAUUAACUGUCUGCGCACCACUCCCUUUCAAUAUCGCUGGAAAACAUCAGAUCCAUGGCGCGAAAGAACUUCAUCGUGUCCUUUAGGACGUCACUAUUUGCUGCCAUCAGGGGUCUAACCCAGUCUCUCGCCCCCUUUUCAAGAUGCUCAAUCACGAAAGCCACUCGUGAUUCCUCGUCAGGGAAUUCAUCAAACUGCAGAUUGAGGGCAUAUUGCAUUUCUGUCCGAAAGCCAUGAUAGUUUUUGGGCUCCCCCCCAAACUUCUGCACCAAUCCUGGUACCUUUCUGGCGAGCUGGGUGGCUUUCCCCUUUUGUCUGCAUCCUGAGCCCUCCUCUCCUCAAGCCUCGCCGUCUGCAUCGCUAGCUGGACCUCCAACACCCGGUACCUUUCUUCCAGGCUUGGACCCGCUCCAGCUCCUGCUUCUCCGGUUCCGGCUGGGUUGCUCAUGAUGCCUUCUCCUGCACAAGCUGCUUUCAAAGACUGUCGGAAUGCUGUGAUGGGAUGAUGAGCUGCUUGUGCGUAAAAUCGUAUCCCCUCAGAGUUUGUUCAAGUCCACCAACCUCUGUCUGUGACGGAGCCCCUCAGACAUGGCUCCUCUAGUCACUAGCAGAUUCCGACAGUGGUUGCUUUCGUAAUCGCUUCCAACAUAAAAGCUCCUUAACGGAAACACGUCUUCUGGAAUCUCUGCGUGACAGUUUCCGGCGAGGAGUGGGUGUUCUUACAGGAGGUCCUGAAACCUCUCCACUGUUUUCGCUGGAAGUGUCUCUGAGCCAUCCCUCCAGCUCAGCUCCUCUCCCCUGCUGGUUCCCUCUUCAGCUGCUGCGUCUCUCCCAACCUGUGUGAGCCCUUUCACCUCCCUGCUGGUUCCCUCUUCAGCUGCUACGUCUCUCCCAACCUGUGUGAGCCCUUUCACCUCCCUUCCGUCCGAUGGCAGUUCCCUGACAGGUGGCAAUGUGGGAAUGGACCUUUUCAGUGGUGACUCCUUGUUUGUGGAAUGUUCUGGCACCAUCAGUAUAUAAAAAUCAUUUUUAACCAGGCCUUUGCCUCUCAAUUAUCUUUGGCCUUGAGUGGGUGGAAUGUUUUAAUCCUGCCUUUUAAAAAUAGGAUUUUCCUUUAUUUUUUCUUUCAUGCUGCUUUCAAUGUAUGGGUUUGUAUGUACGUAUGUACAUAAAUUGAAAGUUGCUUUGAAUUACCAUGGUAAAAAAAGACCAAUAAAUUUAAAAUUAUUAUUAUUAUUAUUAUUAUUAUUAUUAUUAUUAUUAUUAUUAUUCACUAUGUCCUUUUGAACAGAAUGCUACAGAGCACACUCAAAUACUGUGCUAAGCUAACUGCCCCAGAACCAUGCACUCCCUCAAACUGGAUUGUAUGAAAAUAAAGUCUGAACAUAACCUCAUAUAGGCCCUGUUCUAAGAGCUGCAUUGACUGCCAGUUCAUUUCUGGCUCCAAUUUCUCGUACUCACUUGAGUGUUUUAAGCCCUAAAUAACUUAGGCCCCACAUAGCUCAAAGACCUCCUCCUUCCCUGCAGAACCUCACAGGUGUUAAGGUCAGCAGAGGGGAAGCUCUUGGGAGUUUCACAGCCCUUGCGAUUUGGGGGUGGGGGUGGCCCAGAAGAUGGUAUUCUCUGUGGAAUCCCCUAAAUUGUGGAAUUCCCUCCUCACAGAUAUGUGUGUGGCUUUGGGCAAAAGAUGGAGAUGUGGGUUUUCAAGGCCCACUCUAUUCCGUUGAUUGUUAACUGUUUUAACUGUUUAAAAUUUUGAAUUUUAAAUUGCAACCCACUCUGGGACCUGUUGGUAAAGGCUGUGUCAUUAAUGACGAUGAGUAUAACAACAGCAAUGUGAAAUAGUAGAAAUUGCUUUAGGAAUGUGCUUUUUUGGGUCACUAACGCUAGUAAUUAAGAGGAAAGGAGAGCAAAAUGUUCAAGUUCAGAGGUCAUCAUGAUUUCCAGCACUUAUUCAGCCCUGAUACCUAUAGUUGUUGGGCUAUUGGGGGGGGGGAGAAGGCGGGAGGUAGUUUAUUCCCAUGAAAGUAGACCUGUUUCAAGAGUUAAACAACAAACUGCUGACAUAUUUUUUUUCAUUUCCACCAUACUUUUCUGCCAGAAAGGCUCUCAAAGCAGUUUACAACAAAAACGCAAUCCAUACAAACAGUGGAUUAUUUUGAUUAAGCUGGUUAUUUGGAUAUUGUGUUCUUAGAACCAAUUCCUUGUUGGUGGCCAAGCUCCCCUCCUGCAAUUUCCAGCAUCUGACCUUCAGAAGAAGAAUACCAAGAAGUAGCACUCCUGGAAGGGUGACUAAUAAUAAUAAUAAUAAUAAUAAUAAUAAUAAUAAUUUUUAUUUAUAUCCCGCCCUCCCCAGCCGAAUCCGGGCUCAGGGCGGCUAACAACAAUCAAAUAAUCCAACAUUCUAAAAACAUUUCAUUAUAAAAAUUAAAAUCAAAUUGAUGGCAACCGUUAAGCAAAAUUCUGUGCAGAUUGCCAGAGGAGGGAGUCAGGCUGCGCCCUGACCAAAGGCCUGGUGGAACAGCUCUGUCUUGCAGGCCCUGCGGAAAGAUGUCAGGUCCCGCAGGGCCCUAGUCUCUUGUGACAGAGCGUUCCACCAGAUUGGAGCCGCAGCUGAGAAAGCCCUGGCUCUAGUUGAGGCCAGCCUAACCUCUCUGUGGCCUGGGACCUUCAGGAUGUUUUUAUUUGCAGACCGUCUCUGUGGGGCAUACCAGGAGAGGCGGUCCCGUAGGUACGAGGGUCCUAGGCCAUAUAGGGCUUUAAAGGUUAAAACCAGCACCUUAAACCUGAUCCUGUACUCCACUGGGAGCCAGUGCAGCUGGUAAAGCACUGGAUGAAUGUGAUCCCACGACAAGGACCCCGUAAGGAGUCUCGCCACGGCAUUCUGCACCUGCUGGAGUUUCUGGGUCAGUCUCAAGGGCAGCCCCACGUAGAGCAAGUUACAAUAAUCCAGUCUGGAGGUGACCGUCGCGUGGAUCACAGUGGCUAGGCCAGGACGAGAGAGAUAAGGAGCCAACUGCUUAGCUUGGCGGAGAUGAAAAAAUGCCGCCUUUGUUAUAGCUGUAAUCUGUGCCUCCAUAGAGAGGGAGGUAUCGAAGAUUAUACCCAAACUCUUACCGGACGGUGCUGGCACGAAUUGCACCCCCGAAAGAGAUGGGAGUUGUCCCCUCAAUCCCAUAUCGUCCAGUCCCAGCUAGAGGACCUCUGUCUUCGAAGGAUUUAACUUCAACCGGCUCCCACGUAACCAUCCAGCCACAGCUUCCAGACAUCUGGUCAGUGUGUCUGGGGCCGAGUCAGGAUGGCCAUUCAUCAACAGAUAAAGUUGGGUGUCAUCGGCACACUGAUGGCAACCCAGCCCAAAACUCCGGACAAGCUGGGCGAGGGGGCGCAUAAAGAUGUUAAAAAGCAUCGGGGAGAGUAUCGCACCCUGAGGCACUCCAGACACCAAGGAGUGGCGCGAUGACAAUUCCCCCCCAGGCGCCACCCUCUGUCCCCUAAAUAAGAGUGCAAAGUUCUAUGAAACAAUUUGGUAUUCUUUCUUACAUUCUCUCUUUCUUUCUUUUUUUUAAAAAGCACUCUUUGGGUCAGACAUAUUUUAUCAAAUAAAAACAAAGGAGCAAAAUUUUAGGGGAGUUAAACAGGCUUGACAUCCACUUGGUUGGGAAGUUGUUUUGGUCUCUUUCUCCCUACCCCACCCCUCCAUUCAUCCUAUUAGUGACUGGAUUAACUUUAAAGUAUUCCAUUCUAGAUUAAAAAUGUGCUCGUUCAUUCAAACAUCCUUAAGAAUAAUACUUGUUAGUUUCUGCUUGGCAUUCCUACUUAUGCUACUGAGUAAGAUUUACUAAAAUCCAGUUAACAAUUAUAUAGUUAAAACAAUAGGCAUCUAUGAUGAAAUAUUACGUUCCCCCCCCCAUACCCACAUUGCAGGAGGCUGGACUAGAUGACCUUCAGGAUUCCUCCCAACUCUACCAUUCUAUGAUUCUAUAGGAUGAAAUACUAUCCUACAUAUGCUUGUUUGAGUUUAUUUAUUUUAUCAAAUUUAUAGAAUGCUUGAUGGUAAAAACUGCCAAAGUGGUUUACAAGAGAUAAGCCAGUAAAAGCAAGCAAAAAUUACAGUUGUACUUUAAAACACACAAAAGUUAAAAUAAUAAAACAGAUUAAAAUGAACGCAACUUUAUAGGCAUCUGGGUAGGUUUGUCUAAAUAGGAAUGUUUUUUAACAGGUUCAGAAAAGAGAACUGUGAAUGUGUGUGUGCGCGCUUAUACAGAUGUGUGCCUUUCUCAAACUCGAAACCCCAGAUGUUGCACUACAACUCCCAUCGUCCCUAGCUACUAGGACCAGGGGUCAGGGAUGAUGGGAGUUGUAGCUCAACAACACCUAAAGGCUGAAGUGUGGGGCUGGUGUGUACACCCACCCACACCCACACACCCCAGG
rnacentral:lncRNA from 1 species